ensembl:lncRNA
CUGGGAGGGCCUCAGAGUAGAACCGCUGCUCCUCCACAUCGAAAGGAGCCAAUUAAGGUGGUUCAGCAUCUCAUUAUGAUGCCUCCUGGGUGGGGCAUUCUGGGCAUGUCCCAGCGAGAAGAGGCCCCGGGGCAGACCCAGGACAAACUCAAGAGAAUCUAUCUUUUGGCUGGCCUGGGAAUGCCUUGGUGUUCCCCCGGAAAGGCUGGAGGAGGUGGCCCAGGAGUGGGAGGUCUGGGUUUUCUCUGGUUGGGCUGCUGCCCCUGCGACCUGGCCCAGGCAGGCUGUGAUGGCCAAACCUGUGGCCACACUCUAAAGAGAAAGGCUUCAAAAGAUCAUCACCUUAAAUGAUGGCAACUGGAUAGUUACUUCAUGUUCAGGGUGAUGUGCAAACAGGUAGCUGGAGGAGCACCACACCCUUGGAUACACAAACAGAGAGACAGUCAGCACAAAGG